rnacentral:rRNA from 1 species
UGGGGAAUAUUGCNCANNGGGCGAANCCCUGAUGCAGCGACGCCGCGUGAGNGAAGAAGUAUUUCGGUAUGUAAAGCUCUNUCAGCNGGGAAGAUAAUGACGGUACCUGACUAAGAAGCNCCGGCUAAAUACGUGCCAGCAGCCGCGGUAAUACGUANGGGGCAAGCGUUAUCCGGAUUUACUGGGUGUAAAGGGAGCGCAGGCGGUGCGGCAAGUCUGAUGUGAAANCCCGGGGCUCAACCCCGGUNCUGCNUUNGAAACUGU